rfam:Dipodomys ordii contig_204, whole genome shotgun sequence.
UGGCUCACUGGUAGAGCGCUUGCCUUGCAUGCAUGAGGCCGUGGGUUCGAUCCUCAGC